CUUCACCUCCCGAGUUCAAGUGAUUCUCCUGCCUCAGCCUCCCAAGUAAAUGGUUGAAGACAGAAGACUUACAGAUUUUAUAUCCAGCCCAUGAGGAUUUUGACUGAUUCCAUUGAGCAGGCUCAGGUGAAAAACUGAAGGGCCAAGACGAACUAAGUGACUUGUCCAGGAUCACACAACCGGUCAUUAGCUCAGCUGAGAAAAAAAUACACAUCUCUUGAUCCUCAGAUGAGUGUUUCGUUUUGUUAUUUAGCACUUCGAGUGCUUCUGUACAACAUACCAUUUGUAUUCUUUGAAACAAACUCUUCAGGUAUUUCCAGGUGUUUUUCACAUUUCUGUCCUGAGAGAAAGUAUACCUAAUGGUACAAGUAGAUUUAAAAUCUAUUUAAAAUUCUCAAAGUUUCUAAUGCUGUUCUUUCUUUAGUGACUACUUCAAAAUGUUAAUUGUCUGUCAGUCCUUUGGUUUGGAGAAUUGCUUAUGGGACCACCUAGAGGUUAUGAUAGGGAGAAGACAUUACACAUGAAAGCCAUCCGACAGUCUAAUAUUACAGAAUGAGCCAACAUUUCACCAGCGUCCGCUCAGAGUGAUAGCCCUGAAUACAAUGGAUAUUUAAUGUUCCUUAAGAAAUUUCACUUGAAAUGUUACUCCGAAUCCAAAUUAUCAUCAAAAUGGAAAAGAUAGAGAUUGCUAUAUUUCCUGUUAGAUAUAAAGCCUUAAAUAAACCUUCUGAUUCUUUUAUGCAUGAACCUAAAUUUACUUAUAGAGUUAUUAUGUACUUUAUAUGCCUAAUUAUCUGUUUAUCUGUACACACAUUUCUAAUAUAGACUCAGGUUUUAAUGAAGACUGUUUUAAAAUGCUUAAUGAGGCUUUGUCAAGAUUCACAUUGAUAGCCUGUGUUAACAUGACUUUAUCAGUGUUUGUUCAAUCUACUAAGUUAGUUUAUUCAGCAAAUAUUUCUCAAAAAAGAACUCUAUGCAAUUCACUGCAUACACACAGAAAAAUGCUGAGCCAACCACUUAGCACUUAAUAACCACUCUGCAUAGCAAAGAUGCCAUGCAUUUCUUCAGGUACAUAUUAUGCCUUUGAGUAAUUUUACAAUGUUAAACUUGACAUAAUAUCAAUUUUUCAUAAUAUUUAAAUUCUAGAAUUCUUUAAAUAUUUUAUUUUAGUAAAGGUGGAAUUGCUGGUGACAGACCUCAAAGGUAAAAGUUUUAUAAGAUACUAGAUGCUGUAACCAUACUACGUAAUUGAGUUGAUUGAUCAGUAUGUAAUUUAGAAUGUUUAUAAAGCUUGCCACUCUGAACCUCUGCUAGGUAAAUAAACAAUU